UGAAGCCAGUUCAUUCCAGUCAACAGGAAGUGAGUUUGAUUGACAGCUGUUCAGUCAGCUGGCAGCACUUUAUGACAUCAUAGUCACCUACAGUCCCUAACAUCCUAGAAGCUGACUGAAGCCAGUUCAUUCCAGUCAACAGCAAAGGGUCGGACUGUGAAGCUGCAGCUGCUGAUGGAAGUGAUACCCCAGGAGAUUCCCAGAGAGUCUGUUACCCUUGUCUCUUUAAAUGACUACAAUCCCUGCCAUAAAGCAAGGCAGGACUGCUGCUCUUUUGCCAGACAGGAAGUAGAGACAGUCACAUGAUGAUCCCCUCAAUCCUAUUUUACACAAUAUUUCCCAUCAGUUUGCGCAGAGCUGUACUCACUUAGCAUUGUAUUAAAGGGGCAUUCGAUUACGGAUCUUCAGAAGAA